GGACCCUCUUAUUCUGAACUUGUCGGCUGGCUGAGCAAAUUUUAUAGAAUAAAAAAAAAAGGAAAAGACAAUUUGAAAUAAAAAGGGAAGUGAGAAAAAGCAAAAGGGGGCAAUUCGAAAAUUAAAAGAAGAGCGAGAAAACAAAACCCUUUUAGAACAAAACCCUUCCAAUCAAUUCAAGGAAGGGAGAAGAGAGCAAUAAAGCGAACGACAAAGAGAGAAGCUAAAUCGAACGGCGAUCUAAACUCCGGCGAAAUCUAAUUACUUAUUCGGAAAUCUUCCUUCGUACGAUGUUAAUGAGAUAAUGAGGGAUCAACCGGCUGGUUCUAGCAACCCUCGCAAAAGGAAGCAAAAGGAAAUAAUUGUUGAGCCGUAACCAGAUGUGCUCUUUGAUGAUGAUGAUUUAGGCUCUGGCAGUGAGGAUGAUUUUUCUGAGGAUGAUGAUUAUGUCAUAGGACCAGCUGACCAGGGAAGCGAAUUUGAGGACCAAUCCUUUGAAGAAGAGGAGACUGUUUUGGUCCGGCGAAGAAGCAGCCCGAAGGUUGAGGAGAGACAAAGGGGUAACGCUGGGCCUAGGGGUCAGGGUGUGCAUAGGGGUGUUGUUUGAAGAAAAGUUGCUGCACGACUUAGGGCACUACCUAGGGCACAACCAGCGUCACUGUCGCCCAGGAGUAGGAAGUGGGCCGAAGUUUCUGUACACCAGAUGACAAGCGAGGCUGAGGAAGAAGGAUUUCAGCCACAAGGGUUUCAUCCACAAGGUUUUCAGCCACAAGGGUUUCAUCCACAAGGUUUUCAGCCACAAGGGUUUCAGCCACAUGGGUUUUAGUCUCAAAGUGUGGAGUCACAAGGUUUUCAGUCUCAAGGUCUUCUGUCACAAGGUCAGCUAGUGAAGCAGAAGGACCUUGUUGUUGUUACGCAAAAAACUUACUGUUCUGGGAAGUCCGCAAACUUCAUGUGUAAAGUUGAUGCUAUUAGUGAUGUGUUGAAGGCGUUGUCUUUGGAUAAGGAUAGGCGGGCGAUAAUUGAAAGAUGUGGGUUUGGUGACCUUUUCAAUAUAAAGAUGAAGAAGACGAUGUUGAAUCGGGGGUUUGCUUAUUGGCUGAUGAGUAGGGUGGAUGGUGAAAAAGGUAUUUUUGAAAUGGGUGAUGGGAGGUUGGUGCCACUGUGCACUGCACAAUGGCGCUACAUUUUUGGUAUUCCUGCCGGAAGGAAGAAUCUUCCUAGGCGGGUUACUGAUGGUGGUUUGGCAUUGAAGGAUUAUUUUUUUUAUUUUUUUUUCGCAAUUAAGGAAAUGUAUGGUGUAAAAGAUAAGAAUGGGGAGGUGUGGGAUAUCAGUAGAGAAGGCUGCUGAAACCAUUGUUAAAAUGCCUGUACUUACAAGGAAGGAGCAAGAUGAUUUUAUGAUUGGUUUUUUGGUUAUGGUGUUUGGGGGGCUAUUAUGCCCUACUACUAGUGGAGCAAUGUUAGCGGCUUCCUUGCGCUUCGUGUUUGUGUUGGAGUGGUAGCUAGGGAGUACGAUUGGUGCUCGUUGGCGCACCAGUGGGUGAUGAGCUGUGCUAGGGAUUUUGCUUCAAAGUUUGAGGCAUCUGGUUAUGCUGCUAGGGCAGGUGGUUGUUCACUUUUCCUGAUGUGAGGUGUAUAUCCCAGGAUUGAGGAUUGAGGAUUGAGGUAUAGACUGGGGACAAGAUUAAGGAAGGAUAUGAGAAGGAUUUAAAGAAGACAAAGGACUAUGGGUUGUUGAAAUCGUUGGAUGUGGCUUAUGAGGAAAGGCAUCCUUGUUGGUUAGGAUACCAACAAUAGACAAAAAAACCUUGUUGGUUUGGGAAGUUUGUUUGGCUUAUAUACUUGGGUUAUAUGACUGGUUUGGGAAGCUAUUCCUAAAUGAUGGUAUUUCUGAUACAUUUUCAUGAUGGUGUUGAAGCAUAUGACCCCUGAAUGGUUCGAGGAGAAGCUCACACCAUGGCUUCAUCGGCUGGAGCAACUUUAUAGCUCUGGGUGUAGGGUGGUUGUUCGGGCACCUUUGGAGAGGAAAACCGCUUACCCGGUACUUUCGGUGUCUUCUAAAGAGUCGGAGGAAAAACAAAAUGAUGGGCAUAAUGAUGAGGCGAGUACUCUUGACAAAAGACUAGGAAAACUUGAUGAUAAGGUUGUUAUUGGUGAUAAGCAAAUAGGUGUUAGAGAUUUGAUUAAAAUUGUUGCCUCUCAGCAUAGAAAGACGUAGAAGCAGUUGGUGCUGUCGUAGGGGUCGUUGAGUCUGUUGUUGACAAGGAGGCACACUCUAAGGGAGCUGAAAAUGGUGGGGGUGAGACUAUUGUUUAGGCUAAUCCGGAGGCUAACCUUGAGUCUGGUGUUGACCAUACUGGGGAGCAAACUGCUGGGAGUUUAGGGCCACGUGUAGAAGAACAACCACAAACGAAAAUAUUUAUUGACCCGCACGCCAUUACCUAUGCAGACUUGGUGAGUCAACAACAAUGAAGUCCCACAACUUAGGUUUUAAAUGGUUAUGUGUAAGCCUGAAAUACUCUAGUAUGUUCUCAGUAUUGCUUACAAUUGCUUUUUAAGUUUUUGUUGUAAAGACACAUACCUUGGGUGUUUUGUUUGUUUUUAUUAGUUUGAAACUUGUGAAUGACUCUGGGUUGUUUGAAUUGAAUUAUUUAUUGCCUUUUUAUGGUUUCGUUUGAACAUAUUCAAUGUUUGGUCCCGUCGAA